UCCGCCAUCUUUCCGUGCCACCGUGGUGCACAUGAAUGUCCUGGCUGAUGCUCUCAAGAGCAUCAACAAAGCCGAAAAGGGAGGCAAAUGCCAGGUUCUUAUCAGGCCGUGCUCCAAAGUCAUCAUCUGGUUUCUAACUGUGAUGAUGAAGCAUGGUUACAUUGGCGAAUUUGAAAUCACUGAUGAUCACAGAGCUGGAAAAAUUGUUGUGAACCUCAUAGGCAGGUUAAACAAGUGUGGUGUGAUCAGCCCCAGACUUGAUGUGCAACUCAAAGAUCUAGAAAAGUGGCAGAAUAACCUGCUUCCAUCCCACCAGUUUGGUUUCAUUGUACUGACAACCUCAGCUGGCAUCAUGGACCACGAAGAAGCAAGAAGGAAACACACAGGAGGGAAAAUCCUAGGAUUCUUUUUCUAGGGAUGUAAUGCAUAUGUACAAAUAAAAAGCCUCAGUAGAAAAAAAAAAAA